GGUGGCGUGUCCGAGAGGCCUAUGGAGCACGCUUGGAAAGCGUGUAGGGGUAACACCCACGCAGGUUCGAAUCCUGUCGCCACCGC
rnacentral:tRNA from 1 species